AAAUUCAUGUCAAAAUCUUACCCCUAGUUUCGUACAUAGACAUGGGUCGAAACUUCCCAUUCGCAUAACUCGGUUGAAACUGAACCGAGUUUAAUGAAUUUUGCCUAAUAAUAUUGGUGCCAGGUUUAGAUGCCAAAUUGAUCAAGAGGUCAAACCAUAAACUAAAAGUAAAACCUUAUUAUAAACCGUUUGAGUUUGGGCAAAGUUGUGCGAAUGAAAAAUAAAAAUUAACUUGCAAUUUUGAGGUCUAUCCCAGAAAUACUUGGGAAAAAGGAGUUUCCGUUGAGAUAAUUCAGUUAAGGCGAACUUAUUGGCUAGGAACUCAAAGUCCGAUCGGCUCUCGCAAUUUAACAUAAGAGUACCCACAAGAAAGGGAACAAUGGACAAGUUUAAUGGAAUCAACUGCUUGAGUGAUCAAUGAGCCAUUAGUUGAUGAACUCAAAAAAUACAAACACACACACACACAGACACAGAGAGAGGGAACAAAUGGCAGAGGGCAGUAACCUAGCCGAGCCGAAAUGUAAUACAAGAACUGGGUGCAGCCGUUGUCGUCGACCGAAUUCGAAGCCGAACCCAAACUCAAACGAGUAUCAGGACUCAGGGUCAGGAAUCAGCUGCUGAUAUAAUAAUGCAAACGUGGACAGCUGUCGGAAAAUUGCUGAAAAUCGAAUGAAAAGCCGCGCGCGCAUUCUGCUCCGACGUUCGUCUCGCCCUUUGGCUGCUUUUCCUUUUUUUUACAGACGAGCAUCAAUGGCAAUCGCACCACCAAAUCCAGUUCCUGCUCAUGUUGUUGUUGUUGUUGUUUAUGUAGAUCGUCAAAUGAUGUCCCGUCCCGUCGUCGCUUCGGGUUCGUAGGGCGAGUCUCGGCCAGGCUACCGUAAAUAUAUUUCAGAGUGUUUCUUCUACCUGGUCCUGGACCCGUCCCGACCACAUAUCGAGAAGGUCUUUGAACUCAUCUCAUCUAACGAUUUGUGGGCUUCGCCGGCAACAGCUGCCGCCUAAAUAACCCGAGUCCCAAUUUUCAGCUCCGAGUUCCGAGCGAGAGAUUUCGCAAUGCUCAAACAAAUGUAAUUAAAAAUACAAAGUUUCAAAUUACUUGAAUGAAACGUGGAACGUGUGUCCAGCUCAAGAAUCCGUACAAGAGUGAAGCACAAUUUGGCGAUGACGUAAACUGACUUCUUUUCUGUUGAUAUACCCGUCGAAAUUGUCAAAAAAAAAGGUGGAUUGUUUUUCGGGCAAAUGCAUGAAACCAAAAAGAAUCAUAGCUAUAGCUUAAACAAUUUAAUAUUAUAUAUAUUUGGAAAAUUUUCCACAAUAUCGAAAGAAAUUAAACUAU